AAUAUUAGAGAAUAAAUAUUUGUGAAGAACGAAAACAAAAGAUAUAAAAUAUAGAAAGAAAUAAUUUACUGUUUAGUGGCACACAAUCAACUCAAGCCAACAACUUCACCGCACUGCUGCCGCUGCUACCGUCGACUUCGCCGCUGCUGCUUAAACAUCGUGCGAGUCAUCAUAACCAGCCGCAUUAUUGUUUUUGUUGUACAUGUGUGUGUGUGUGUGUUGUUGCUCAUUCGAACUAUGGAACUGAGAACCUAAAUAAAAAAAGUAAAUAUUUGUGAAAUAACAACAAUAAAAUAAGGUCAUUGGGCUAAAAUUGUUAAAUAAUUAAACAAUUAUGAGCUGCAGUUAAAGGUGGAAAAACUGAAGAUCUGGCAACGGUUACCUGCGGUAAAAAUUCUUAAUAAAUAUUAAUUUCACUCUUGCAUUUUUUCACAAAGGAAAAAAGUAAAGGACGAAGAAGUACACAGCGAUCACAAGUAAUGCAAGUUAAACACAUUUUUAAUAAAAUUUUUUCUACAAGCAAAGUGUAAAAAAGAGUGUAUUUAAAAAGCGAAAGGAAGUGCGAAUUGCAGCGAAAUGGAAGCGGAAGCAACUUAAUUAAAACUUUUCAUUUAAACUUCAUCAGAUGAACGAAAUACGCAUUUUCGUAAUGAACAGUUGAAAUUGUCACAACAAUCACAACAACGAAUGCAACUACAAUAACAGCGAAACACAAUAAUUUUUUCAACUUUUAACUUAAAACCUCAAAACUUUAAAAUAUAAACAACGACUGAAACUAAUUAA